AUUGAACGCUGGCGGCAUGCCUUACACAUGCAAGUCGAACGGUAGAGGGGGCGACCCCUUGAGAGUGGCGAACGGGUGAGUAAUGCAUCGGAACGUGCCCAGUUGUGGGGGAUAACGUAGCGAAAGCUACGCUAAUACCGCAUACGACCUGAGGGUGAAAGCGGGGGACUCGCAAGAGCCUCGCGCAAUUGGAGCGGCCGAUGUCAGAUUAGCUAGUUGGCGGGGUAAAAGCUCACCAAGGCGACGAUCCGUAGCUGGUCUGAGAGGACGACCAGCCACACUGGGACUGAGACACGGCCCAGACUCCUACGGGAGGCAGCAGUGGGGAAUUUUGGACAAUGGACGCAAGUCUGAUCCAGCCAUGCCGCGUGCAGGAAGAAGGCCUUCGGGUUGUAAACUGCUUUCGUCAGGGAAGAAAUCCUCUGGGCUAAUAUCCUGGGGGGAUGACGGUACCUGAAGAAUAAGCACCGGCUAACUACGUGCCAGCCGCCGCAGUAAGAC
rnacentral:rRNA from 1 species